CAGCAAUAAGGGGUAUUAGUGAAAGCAGCUGUUAAAAUCAGAGGAGAGCUCAGGUGAGGUGUUUGUGUGAGGUUUGGUGCAUUUGCUUAAGCAGACGCAUGCCCUUAACAGAACUGUGGGGGAAGAAAAGUUCUGUAGGAGCAAAGGGAAUAAGAUGUUAUAAGCUCAUUUACUUUUAGAAGUUAUCCCUUGACUUAGGUGGAGAGUGACUGACACUUGUCCUUGUGGGAGGACUCUGAUGCAUAAGAAGAAUUACCAGAAAUGCCUGGUGGUCACAGUUCUGCUGUCUCCCAAAGGGUAUCUGUGAUGUCCUUGGCAGAGGCUGCUUGGUGUUGGGUAAAUACCUGGCCUUCUGCUGCUGUGCUCAGCACUGUGAGCCCAUUUAGCUGCUUCUCUUGGAUGUACCAGUUGGUGUAAUAAAAGUUACCUCAUUUUCCUACCAACUGUGACUAGCUUUAGUAUUCUAAGGAAGUCUAAAGGGGAAAAUAAAACAUCAGUUCCUUAUGCCUUUAAUUAACA
rnacentral:lncRNA from 1 species